CCAUCUCUCCCUCAGUUUUCCUCCUCAUCUCUCCCUCAGUUCCCCCAUCUCUCCCUCAGGGAACUAAGGGAGAGAUGGGGGGGAACUGAGGAAGAGAUGG
rnacentral:miRNA from 1 species